AUGGGAGGACAGUGUGUAGCCUGGCUCACUGCAAGGAAGCACACUUACGGGGGAUACUUGAAGGUAAAAACCCAAAGUUUGAAACACCUUGAAGCAUCCAAUGAAAUCCAACAUCUAGUCAGCAAUUUCCCAUUAACUUGCAAGCAUGUAACUUCUGAGGAACCAAGUCCGCGAUUGUCUCUCUGCUUAUGACAGUCUCUGUUUUGACCCUUGCUUGGAGACAGGUUUUUAGCUCCAUCAGUAUCAUCGCCAAUAAGAACUACCUCAUUUCACCUGAAGAAAUGGG
rnacentral:lncRNA from 1 species